AAGCCGUUAAUUCGGAAAUUACUGGGACGUAAAGCCUGCCGCCGGCGGUUUCGGAAAAGAAAAGAAUGUGCAAAUCCCCAGAGCCUGAGCUUUGGGAAAUUGCAUUUUUUAACUAACCGAGGCUAGAGUGUGUCAGAGGGGAGGUUGCAAUUUUCGCGUGUAGCAGUGAAAAUGCGUAGAUAUGCGGAGGAACACCGAUGGCGAAGGCAGCCUCCUGGGGAUAACACUGACGCUCAUGCACGAAAGCGUGGGGAGCAAACAGGAUUAGAUACCCUGGUAGUCCACGCCCUAAACGAUGUCAACUAGCUGUUGGGGCCUUCGGGCCUUGGUAGCGCAGCUAACGCGUGAAGUUGACCGCCUGGGGAGUACGGUCGCAAGAUUAAAACUCAAAGGAAUUGACGGGGACCCGCACAAGCGGUGGAUGAUGUGGAUUAAUUCGAUGCAACGCGAAAAACCUUACCUACCCUUGACAUGUUUGGAAUGCCGAAGAGAUUUGGUAGUUCUCGCAAGAGAACCGGAACACAGGUGGUGCAUGGCCGUCGUCAGCUCGUGUCGUGAGAUGUUGGGUUAAGUCCCGCAACGAGCGCAACCCUUGUCAUUAGUUGCUACGAAAGGGCACUUUAAUGAGACUGCCGGUGACAAACCGGAGGAAGGUGGGGAUGACGUCAAGUCCUCAUGGCCCUUAUGGGUAGGGCUUCACACGUCAUACAAUGGUCGGGACAGAGGGUCGCCAACCCGCGAGGGGGAGCCAAUCCCAGAAACCCGAUCGUAGUCCGGAUCGCAGUUUGCAACUCGACUGCGUGAAGUCGGAAUCGCUAGUAAUCGCGGAUCAGCAUGUCGCGGUGAAUACGUUCCCGGGUCUUGUACACCCCGCCCGUCACACCCUGGGAGUGGGUUUUACCAGAAGUAGUUAGCCUAACCGCAAGGAGGCCGACUACCCACGGUAGGACUCAUGACUGGGGUGAAGUCGUAACAAGGAGCCUUGAUGGCC
rnacentral:rRNA from 1 species